rnacentral:rRNA from 1 species
UACGAAGGGGGCUAGCGUUGUUCGGAAUUACUGGGCGUAAAGGGCGCGUAGGCGGUGUGUCAAGUCAGGCGUGAAAGCCCCGGGCUCAACCUGGGAACGGCGCUUGAGACUGGCACGCUCGAGUUCGGGAGAGGAUGGUGGAAUUCCCAGUGUAGAGGUGAAAUUCGUAGAUAUUGGGAAGAACACCGAUGGCGAAGGCAGCUAGCUAGACCGACAUUGACGCUGAGGCACGAAAGCGUGGGGAUCAAACAGG